rnacentral:rRNA from 1 species
GAUCCUGGCUCAGGAUGAACGCUAGCUACAGGCUUAACACAUGCAAGUCGAGGGGCGAGCAGUGGUCUUAGCUUGCUAAGGCCGAUGGCGACCGGCGCACGGGUGAGUAACACGUAUCCAACCUGCCGUCUACUCUUGGACAGCCUUCUGAAAGGAAGAUUAAUACAAGAUGGCAUCAUGAGUCCGCAUGUUCACAUGAUUAAAGGUAUUCCGGUAGACGAUGGGGA